AUUGCAAGAGCAGUUUCAAAUUGAAGAGUUUUAUCCAAACUGAGACUUCAAAAAAAAUCUCUUGAAUAGCAGUAUCCAAUGAUGGGAGUGGAUUUCGAUGUAGCAGGGACGCUCGAACGGCCUCAUAUUCUGAUCGAAGAGCCAUUAGAACUUGAAUGAGAUGAAGAUGAUCUUCACUGAUUUUGGCCUGAGAUAUUUGAUUCCAAAUAGGUUGGACCUGGGCAAGAAAAUCAUUCACAGAUUGACCUGCUUCUUGUUUCAGAUUAUGAAGAGUAGUCCACAACUGAUAAUAGUGGGCAAGUCCAGUGGUCUGAUAUCGAUUAGCCAAAAAAUCCCAGAUUUCUUUUGCAGAGUCAUAAUUAGCAAAUUGGAUGUGAAUAGACGAGACAGAGGUAUUGCGAAAC
rnacentral:misc_RNA from 1 species